rnacentral:tRNA from 1 species
GCCGGGGUGGCGGAAUUGGUAGACGCGCACGUUUCAGGUGCGUGUGUCCGUUUGGACAUGCGGGUUCAAGUCCCGCCCCCGGUA